UUGACUAAAAGGGGGUGGGGCUGGCAAGCAGCUGCUGUGGCUCUGAUUCUGGCCCUGUGCCCAGGUCAGGACUAGAAUCAGAGCCACAGCACCUUCUGCCUCCCACCAUUCCCUUCGCCCCACCUUACCAUCAAGCACAGCUCAGCUCCAACCCAGGCUAGAUUCCCUCCUGGACAUGAAGCACAGGGAAACUCUGUCCUCUGCCUGACCAAACAGCAUCAUUGCCACUGUUGUAUGACUGGCAGGGGCUGUGGUCCUGAAGGGAACAGACUCUGAAAAGCAUCUGACAGAUAGCGUGUCACCUCAACAAGAACCAGAGAAAGACAUAAAACAUGAAACACUGCUGCUAUGAGGAUUCAACCAUCUCCAAAAGAGAAAAGAAAAUAUGUGGUGCUGCAUGUUUUUUAAAAGUAUGUCUGGAAAACAAUUUGAUUCUGUUCCUACAAUAAAGUUUAAUGUUUUGGAUCCAAUCACUGCAAAUUAUGAAGGCUUGGCAAACGCCUCGGUUAGAACAUAUGGAAAUUCUGUUUGCCUUCUUCACUUACAGCCUGCUAAUACAUUUUUAUAACAGUA